AUUGAACGCUGGCGGCAGGCCUAACACAUGCAAGUCGAACGAGUGGCGGACGGGUGAGUAAUGUCUGGGAAACUGCCUGAUGGAGGGGGAUAACUACUGGAAACGGUAGCUAAUACCGCAUACCAUCGGAUGUGCCCAGAUGGGAUUAGCUAGUAGGUGGGGUAAAGGCUCACCUAGGCGACGAUCCCUAGCUGGUGUGAGAGGAUGACCAGCCACAAUGGGACUGAGACAAGGCCCAAGAUCCUACGGGAGGCAGCAGGUGGGAAACUUUCGAAAUGGACGGAAGUCUGACGGAGCAACGCCGCGUGAGUGAUGACGGCCUUCGGGUUGUAAAGCUCGUUAAGCGGGACGACGGUACCGGAAUAGAAAGCAACGGCUAACUACGUGCCAGCAGCCGCGGUAAUAC
rnacentral:rRNA from 1 species